GUCAUCCUCAGAACGACCGGCUGAAACAGAGCUUUUCUCUUCAGAAGCGCGUCGUUACAACAAAAACAGCGCAAGCAGAUGGAACGAGCAAAAUGUGGUGCAGAGAGUGCUGUCCAGUGUUCUGUCCAGUGUUCACUCCAGAUUUAUGUCCAUCAUGGAGGUAAUUACAUCCUCUCACACUGUGCAAAAAUAUAGGUUUACAUGAUUUUUUAAAAUGGAAAGCUGAGAUUGUUUUUGAAAACAAUUAACAGUAUUUGAGCCAAGGAGUUUUAACGAAUCGUUUCACCGUUAAAAUGAUUUUUGUACAGAUUAAAAAAUUAAUUGAGCACUUUAUUUACUGGAUAUCUGUAUAUUUUUGUUUGUUUACCUGUUUAUCUCUGCUCUGCAGUUCCGAAAAAAAUUCUCAAUGCAGCCUGUUCAGCAUGAGCAAGAGGAGUUGAAGGAUAAGUCUCCACCUCAUCCAUUGGUGCCACUCGGCGCUCUGACUGGGGUCCUGACCAUACACAUACGAAGCUGCAGAGACUUCAUGAAAACCACUCAUAUACAGAAAGGCACUCUAUGUGUUGUGAGGAUCACUGUGGGGAGAAUGGUGAAGAGCUCCCUGCUGCUCCCUUCGAAGACAUCAUCGCUUUCAAUGAAGUGAAACACUUCAUACAGUAAUGUGACGAUCCCUUGCAGACCAUCCUCUGUCAACAUCGUGUCCUCUCUGAUGGAACAAGAUGCACAGAGAGACAGAGAGUGCAGGAUAUCUGCUGGUGUAAUGGACUGCAUGGAUAGGAGAGGCAGGUCAGUGUCGAACUUCUUCAAGGCCUAAGCUGACAGUAGCAUGGAGAAGCCACACAAUGAACUUGGUCUACGCCAGGGCAAAGUAUAUAGUGAUUCUGUGCUGUAAUUUAUAUCACAUAAAUGUAGAGCUGCAACU
ensembl:lncRNA